rnacentral:lncRNA from 1 species
CUCAUUUUGAAGAAUUUCACAAAAAAAAUUGCUAAGAUCCUUGUAAGUAAAAACUUCUAUGGAAAUUAUAAUUGAGCAUGGAUUGGGGCAUGUGAGGACUUGAUCUUAGCUUAAAAAGGUGUUUAUAACACAAUAGUGAAGUUAGAUUUACAAAAAAAUGCCUUCUUGACCACUUACAAGGGCCAUCAGUCUUGAUAACAAGAUUGGCUCUUGGAUGAAUGAAGGCCGUAGAUCUAGAUUAGGGAUCUGAAAAAUCAAGGGUGGAGAUGUAGCCACCCUUCUACGACCCUCCACUCAAUUGUAUAAGAGAGGCUUGGUUUUCCAAGCCCUCUCUCUCUCUUCUUUUGGUGAAGGACGAAGCCAUGCUAAAAUUUGGCCAAAAACCCUAAUUUUAAUUUCAUUUAGAUUAUAAAUCUCAUUGUGAAUUUUGUGGGUAGGUGUGCAUGGAUUUCAAGUUGUGAAUGAUAGUCAUUGGGUCUUAAAACACGUUUCAUUGUAGUGAAUAGCUCCCUUGGCCUCCCAAUUACUCCAAGGGUUUCAAGAGCCUAAGAUUUCCCUCCAUCAGUCAUUCAAUAGUUUUAGUUCCAAUAUAAUUUUUUUUUUCGUUGUAGCUUUUGUUGUUAGCUUUCUAACAAGGUAAGGCUCGCUCCAUUUGGAGUUGAACUGAAUUUUUGGUGAAAUUUUGAGUGUGAGGGGGUCGACUGCCUUCACAGUUUGGAUUAAUCGAGUUUGG